AAAAACACACACAUUGGACAUGUCACACACGCUCAGAACAAAUGGUGUGAAAUGUGAUAAGUUUAUGUACACCACUAGAACAAACAAACCUCCAACACAGAAAAGAAAUGGUGAAAGAAACAGAGCUUAUCUUCAUCCCAGUUCCUUCCACAGGCCACCUUCUCGUCAACAUCGAGUUCGCCAAGCGUCUCAUCAGUUUCGACAAUCGGAUCAACACCAUCACCAUCCUCCAAUUACACUCACCGACCAGCCCGAACGCGUCAGUUUUCGCCAGAUCUCUCGUAGCUUCACAGCCCCAGAUCCGCCUCCACGACCUCCCCCUUCUCGACGAUCCUCCCCCGUUGGAUCUCUACUACAGAGCUCCCGAAGCCUUCAUAGUCCAGCUCGUCAAGAGAACCACUCCUCUGAUCAAAGAAGCCGUCUCCAGCAUCGUCGAUUCGCGUACUAACUCUCGUGUAGCUGGUUUGGUUCUUGAUUUCUUCUGCAACACGUUGAUUAAAGAUGUAGGCGACGAGCUUAACCUCCCUUCUUACAUAUUCCUAACGUGCAACGCUAGAUACUUGGGUAUGAUGAAAUAUCUCCCGGAUCGGCAUCGGAGAGUCGGGUCGAAGCUCGAUUGGAGCUCCGGAGAUGAGGAGUUAGCGAUUCCUGGAUUCGUUCACCCUGUUCCGGCGAAGUUUCUGCCGUCGGGUUUGUUCAAUGAAGAAGCUUAUUACGAGGCUUACGUUGAGCUAUCGCCGAGUUUCGGUAAAGCGAAGGGUAUUUUGGUAAAUUCGGUAGCGGAGAUUGAGCCGUAUACGUUCGGGUAUUUCUCUCGGCAGGAGAAUUAUCCUACGGUGUACCCGGUCGGACCGAUUCUCAGCUUGGAGGAUCGAGCGAGUCCUAAGGAAGAGGAGGAGGCUGGGGAUCGAGAUGGGAUCGUGAGAUGGCUUGAGGAUCAGCCGGAGUGUUCGGUGGUGUUCCUCUGUUUUGGGAGCAAUGGAAGCGUUGAUGAGUUGCAAGCGAAGGAGAUAGCUCAAGCGCUUGAAGUUGUCGGGUGUAGAUUUCUAUGGUCAAUCCGGACAAGUGUCGUAGGGACUAAACCGACCGAUGUGUUGCCGGAGGGUUUCAUGGGCCGUAUGGCGGGUAGGGGAUUGGUUUGUGGUUGGGCCCCGCAAGUGGAAGUGCUGGAACAUCAGGCGAUUGGAGGGUUCGUGUCUCACUGUGGUUGGAACUCCACGCUUGAGAGCUUGUGGUUCGGUGUUCCCGUCGCCACGUGGCCCAUGUACGCUGAGCAACAGCUGAACGCGUUCACGUUGGUGAAGGAGUUGGGGUUAGCUGUGGAUCUACGGAUGGAUUACGUGUCUGGUCGUGGAGGUUUAGUGACUUGUGACGAGAUAGCAAGAGCCAUCAGGUCUUUGAUGAACGAUGGGGAAGGGAGGAGGGUUAAGGUGAAGGAGAUGUCUGAUGCGGCGAGGAAGGCUGUGAUGGAUGGAGGAUCGUCUUCUUUGGCGACGGCUCGAUUCAUUGAUGAGUUGGUGGAAGAUGGUUCAUGCUAGUUCAAGUCGGUUUGAACUGGUUCAUAGUACAGAAGUGUGGUUGUAACUUGUUGGUGUUGAGGAAGAGACUGAAUUCAGCUACAAGUCGGAAAGAGAGGUACCUGUAUGUUGUGGGUCCGGUUUGAUGCAAGAACCACAUCGAAGUGAAGCUGAUGGCUAAACCGAGGAAGCCGCUUGCUGUUGCGGCUACCCAAAACAUUGCAUCUUGUGUCACAUCCCUGCCAAAAGUGUAAAACACAACGAACGUAAGGAUAAGAAAAUGACAAGAUACUAAAUUUCAGGACAGGUGUAGGUCGAUUUUAAUAGUUCUUACGUGCUUAUUACGUAUCUCCAUUCACCCAAUAAGAUGACAAGGAUUAUACCAAAAGGUAGUGACAAGAGAUUAUUCAGCAGCACCAUUGACACCUCAUUAAGGGAUCCAGAUUUUGUGGACUGUUUUGCUUUAUCCAUGACUCGGCGCAGAGUAAGCUGAGACAAAGAGUUGAACAAGAUCAUCAUUAUAGAGAAGUGUCUAUAUGAGAGAGAUGCAGAAGAUUGGAUAUUCCAGUUCCAAAAGCGUGGACUUACUGAAUAACUUGCGGUUAGAACGCAGUUGGCGGUCUGCCAUGUGUACCCUACAACAUUAAAUGUGAGAUCCGUGAUGCCACCGCUGAUUGCAGAGAUGAUCUACAGUGCAAACUCUUAGUUGGUAUCAUUUUUUUACAUCAGACAGGGGUUGCUACAGAUGUGCGAUUUUAACUUACCAUCAUGAACAUUGCAGCCCAAACCUUGUUGUUCUGCCUUUUUCGGAACAUGUAUAACUCCCCUAUCGCUGUAAUAAUAUUCGUUGCAUUCUUCAGAA